UACGGAGGGUGCAAGCGUUAUCCGGAUUCACUGGGUUUAAAGGGUGCGUAGGUGGGUUGGUAAGUCAGUGGUGAAAUCUCCGUGCUUAACAUGGAAAUUGCCAUUGAUACUAUAAAUCUUGAAUGUUGUGGAGGUGAGCGGAAUAUGUCAUGUAGCGGUGAAAUGCUUAGAUAUGACAUAGAACACCAAUUGCGAAGGCAGCUCACUACACAAAGAUUGACACUGAGGCACGAAAGCGUGGGGAUCAAACAGG
rnacentral:rRNA from 1 species